GUCCAGAAUAGGGUCUCACUAGGCUAACAUCCAGAUAUUGUCAGCCUCCUGAAGACUGACAGAAUCAAUUUGCUUGCUUUUUCUAGCUUCUAGAAGCCAUUCACAUUACUUGAGUCGUGACUCCCUUCCUCCAUCUUCAAAGUUGGCCAUGGAGGACUUUUUUAUCACAUGGAUAAAAGAGGAAACAUCAAAAGUCUCCACGUCACUUUGCCAUUGUACAAAUCUCAAAAUUUCACAAGCCUACCCUCGUCAUUUAUGGAAAAUUUGGGAGAAAAGGUAACAUUCACAGUAUAUUGCUCAAAAA